rnacentral:rRNA from 1 species
GACGAACCACACAAACGUUAUUCGGAAUUACUGGGCUUAAAGGGUGCGUAGGCUGCGCGGAAAGUUGGGUGUGAAAUCCCUCGGCUCAACCGAGGAACUGCGCCCAAAACUACCGUGCUCGAGGAAGAUAGAGGUGAGCGGAACUUACGGUGGAGCGGUGAAAUGCGUUGAUAUCGUAAGGAACACCCGUGGCGAAAGCGGCUCACUGGGUCUUUUCUGACGCUGAUGCCCGAAAGCUAGGGGAGCAAACGGG